GAUAAACGCUGGCGGCGUGCUUAACACAUGCAAGUCGAACGAAGUUUUUCCUUCGGGAGAAACUUAGUGGCGGACGGGUGAGUAACGCGUGGGUAACCUGCCCUGUACAGGGGGGCAACAGCUGUAAACGGCUGCUAAUACCGCAUAAGCCCUUAGCACUGCAUGGUGCAUAGGGAAAAGGAGCAAUCCGGUACAGGAUGGACCCGCGUCUGAUUAGCCAGUUGGCAGGGUAACGGCCUACCAAAGCGACGAUCAGUAGCCGAUCUGAGAGGAUGUACGGCCACAUUGGGACUGAGACACGGCCCAGACUCCUACGGGAGGCAGCAGUGGGGAAUAUUGCACAAUGGAGGAAACUCUGAUGCAGCGACGCCGCGUGAGUGAAGAAGUAUUUCGGUAUGUAAAGCUCUAUCAGCAGGGAAGAAAAUGACGGUACCUGACUAAGAAGCACCGGCUAAAUACGUG
rnacentral:rRNA from 1 species